CCUGGGGGAGCGCUUUGUCCAGGUCAGCAAAAAAUGCAUCCUUGAGGGCGCGCUUUGCUGACUUGGACAAAACGCUCCCCCAGGG
rfam:Gossypium arboreum cultivar AKA8401 contig_10212_5, whole genome shotgun sequence.